rnacentral:rRNA from 1 species
AAAUUGAAGAGUUUGAUCAUGGCUCAGAUUGAACGCUGGCGGCAGGCCUAACACAUGCAAGUCGAACGGUAACAGGAAGCAGCUUGCUGCUUCGCUGACGAGUGGCGGACGGGUGAGUAAUGUCUGGGAAACUGCCUGAUGGAGGGGGAUAACUACUGGAAACGGUGGCUAAUACCGCAUAACGUCGCAAGACCAAAGAGGGGGACCUUCGGGCCUCUUGCCAUCAGAUGUGCCCAGAUGGGAUUAGCUAGUUGGUGAGGUAACGGCUCACCAAGGCGACGAUCCCUAGCUGGUCUGAGAGGAUGACCAGCCACACUGGAACUGAGACACGGUCCAGACUCCUACGGGAGGCAGCAGUGGGGAAUAUUGCACAAUGGGCGCAAGCCUGAUGCAGCCAUGCCGCGUGUAUGAAGAAGGCCUUCGGGUUGUAAAGUACUUUCAGCGGGGAGGAAGGUGUUGCGGUUAAUAACCGCAGCAAUUGACGUUACCCGCAGAAGAAGCACCGGCUAACUCCGUGCCAGCAGCCGCGGUAAUACGGAGGGUGCGAGCGUUAAUCGGAAUUACUGGGCGUAAAGCGCACGCAGGCGGUCUGUCAAGUCGGAUGUGAAAUCCCCGGGCUCAACCUGGGAACUGCAUUCGAAACUGGCAGGCUUGAGUCUUGUAGAGGGGGGUAGAAUUCCAGGUGUAGCGGUGAAAUGCGUAGAGAUCUGGAGGAAUACCGGUGGCGAAGGCGGCCCCCUGGACAAAGACUGACGCUCAGGUGCGAAAGCGUGGGGAGCAAACAGGAUUAGAUACCCUGGUAGUCCACGCCGUAAACGAUGUCUACUUGGAGGUUGUGCCCUUGAGGCGUGGCUUCCGGAGCUAACGCGUUAAGUAGACCGCCUGGGGAGUACGGCCGCAAGGUUAAAACUCAAAUGAAUUGACGGGGGCCCGCACAAGCGGUGGAGCAUGUGGUUUAAUUCGAUGCAACGCGAAGAACCUUACCUGGUCUUGACAUCCACAGAAGAAUCCAGAGAUGGAUUGGUGCCUUCGGGAACUGUGAGACAGGUGCUGCAUGGCUGUCGUCAGCUCGUGUUGUGAAAUGUUGGGUUAAGUCCCGCAACGAGCGCAACCCUUAUCCUUUGUUGCCAGCGGUUAGGCCGGGAACUCAAAGGAGACUGCCAGUGAUAAACUGGAGGAAGGUGGGGAUGACGUCAAGUCAUCAUGGCCCUUACGACCAGGGCUACACACGUGCUACAAUGGCGCAUACAAAGAGAAGCGACCUCGCGAGAGCAAGCGGACCUCAUAAAGUGCGUCGUAGUCCGGAUUGGAGUCUGCAACUCGACUCCAUGAAGUCGGAAUCGCUAGUAAUCGUGGAUCAGAAUGCCACGGUGAAUACGUUCCCGGGCCUUGUACACACCGCCCGUCACACCAUGGGAGUGGGUUGCAAAAGAAGUAGGUAGCUUAACCUUCGGGAGGGCGCUUACCACUUUGUGAUUCAUGACUGGGGUGAAGUCGUAACAAGGUAACCGUAGGGGAACCUGCGGUUGGAUCACCUCCUUA